UGUCAAAUUCCACCUAACAAAUCAGCCAAGUUCUCCUUCACUCACUUAAUCCACCAAAUUAUUUUCAUCGGCCCCAAGCUCAUUUCACCAGAAAUCAAGUAUUGAGGUAAAGAUUCACAAUCAUUUCUUUUAUCUCCUUUUAAGAACACCACCCUUUUCGUUUGAAAAAUAUUCAUGAUCUGAACUUUCACAGCAAACAAGCAGAAAUCAAAAUACCAACUGAAAUCCUCGCCAAGGUAACCACUUGACUUUUUCGCCUACCUCUGUUUAUACAUUACGCCUCUAGCUCCAAAUUGGUUUAGCAGAAACCACA
rnacentral:lncRNA from 1 species